rnacentral:rRNA from 1 species
GGGUGCAAUCAUACCAGCACUAAUGCACCGGAUCCCAUCAGAACUCCGAAGUUAAGCGUGCUUGGGCGAGAGUAGUACUAGGAUGGGUGACCCCCUGGGAAGUCCUCGUGUUGCACCC